UACGUAGGGUGCGAGCGUUAAUCGGAAUUACUGGGCGUAAAGUGUGCGCAGGUGGCCGCGCAAGUCGAGUGUGAAAUCCCCGAGCUUAACUUGGGAAUUGCGCUCGAAACUACGUGGCUCGAGUGUGGCAGAGGAAGGUGGAAUUCCGAGUGUAGAGGUGAAAUUCGUAGAUAUUCGGAAGAACACCAGUGGCGAAGGCGGCUCACUGGACUGGUAUUGACGCUGAGGUGCGAAAGCGUGGGGAGCAAACAGG
rnacentral:rRNA from 1 species